rnacentral:rRNA from 1 species
UACGUAGGGGGCAAGCGGGGGCCGGAUUUAUUGGGCGUAAAGCGCACGUAGGCGGUUUGUUAUGUCGGAUGUGAAAGCCCUUGGCUCAACUGAGGAAGUGCAUCCGAAACUGGCAAGCUAGAGUAUGUAAGAGGGUCGCGGAAUUCCCGGUGUAGAGGUGAAAUUCGUAGAUAUCGGGAGGAACACCGGUGGCGAAGGCGGCGACCUGGGACAAUACUGACGCUGAGGUGCGAAAGCGUGGGGAGCAAACAGG